rnacentral:rRNA from 1 species
GACGAACGCUGGCGGCGUGCUUAACACAUGCAAGUCGAACGGAAAGGCCCCUUUGGGGGUACUCGAGUGGCGAACGGGUGGGUAACACGUGAGUAACCUGCCCUUGACUUCGGGAUAACUUCAGGAAACUGGGGCUAAUACCGGCUAGGAAUCCUUUCUUCAUGGUGGGGGUUGGAAAGAUUCGGCGGGUUUGGAUGGACUCGCGGCUUAUCAGCUUGUUGGUGGGGUAGGGGGUUACCAAGGCUUUGACGGGUAGCCGGCCUGGGAGGGCGAACGGCCACAUUGGGACUGAGAUACGGGCCAGACUCCUACGGGGGGCAGGAGGGGGGAAUAAUGCCCAAUGGGCGGAAGGCUGAAGCAGCAACGCCGCGGGCGGGAUGACGGGCUUUGGGUUGGAAAACGCUUUCAGCAGGGGCGAAGCCUGUGGUGACGGUACCUGCAGAAGAAGCACCGGCUAACUACGUG